UCUUUUGCUUGGUUUCCCCAGCAGUAAGUGCUGUGUGCUCUGUUUGUGUGUGUGUAUGUGUGUGUCCAUGCCUGCUUCCCCCAAUGGCUUUCGAGCCUGCUGGCUUAUUUCAGCCAAGUUUGGCAGGGGAUGGAAGUUCAAAGACCAUGAAUUCCCCACCAUGAGCCCCAGCGUGGCAGAGGGAUGCAGGGAAGUGCUGCUGGCAGAUCCCCUGGUCCCUCUGGGGGUUGUGCUUGGGCAUGGCCUGCUCCUCCAGCCCACCCCAGGCUGAUGAGAUUUGUGCUAAAAAGGCAAAGUUGCUCCAAAGCAGCCGGGGGCCAUAUCUGCUUUCUAUGAAUUUCAGUGGGAAGAACCAGUGCUGGAAGUUGCUCACUGACCCAGUUCCAAAGCCCAGGGGAAGCAUGGGCCGUGGCACUCCGAGGGAGAGGAGGAGGCCAGGAGAGAGGCUGGCUCUGACCCUCACACCACGUAACAGCGCUGCGGAGCAGAGGCCAGGAUUUAUUGGUUUUCCCCCCUGUUGGUGAGGCUGUGAAGUCUCAAGUGUCUUGCUCUGGAGAAAGGAAAUUAAACCUGGAAUGGCUGGAUUGGAGGGAAAACCCCAUUUUUCCAUUACUUUCAAUAGCAUUUCAUUUCCCAGCUCCCCUGCGCUCUGCAGCCGGCACCGAGCACACCCCAGCCUCGGCACCUGCUGAAACCCUCACAAAACAACCCGUGACAGCAACAAACCCACAUCACCCAGCUGUCCUCCCACAGCCCGGGGAGGCCCAGGCUCUGGGCUCAGUGCUGGGCCAGGAAGGAGAUUUGCCUGUCUGAGGCUGAGCCCUGGGUCACAGAGCCAUUGGGGAUCCUGCUCCCGGCCACGGGGCUCUCACGUGCCCUGCAGCUUUCCCAUGGAUAUAAAUCCAUUAAUAAAAGAUCAGCGUGCACACAGCUCACUGAAGAUGAUAGCAUUAGAGGCACAUCAGCUUCUCCUAAGCACCAGUCUCGUGCUGGGUUUAUUUGGUCCAUUUGUGGCAGGGGAAGAGUUGCUUUCGGCGUUCAGAGAUGACUUGUGUCUGGGAGAAGUAGCAGGGUGAGUUAUAUUUUUGGCUCUAUUUAGCCACAAAAAUUUGGGUUUAGAAUAAAGAGAAAUAUUCCCGUUUGCUGCCAAACUGAGGCAGACGAUUUCUUGUGCAAGCCUUCGUUUGUUUGAGG